AGAGUUUGAUCCUGGCUCAGGAUGAACGCUAGCGACAGGCCUAACACAUGCAAGUCGAGGGGCAUCGGGGCGAGGAGCAAUCCUUGCCGCCGGCGACCGGCGCACGGGUGAGUAACGCGUAUGCGACCUACCCGUUGCAGGGGGAUAAUCGGGAGAAAUCCCGUCUAAUACCGCGUAACGCCGCGGGGCUGCAUGGCCCUGCGGCCAAAGGGAGCGAUUCCGGCAACGGAUGGGCAUGCGUGACAUUAGCUAGUUGGCGGGGCAACGGCCCACCAAGGCGACGAUGUCUAGGGGUUCUGAGAGGAAGGUCCCCCACACUGGUACUGAGACACGGACCAGACUCCUACGGGAGGCAGCAGUGAGGAAUAUUGGCCAAUGGGCGCGAGCCUGAACCAGCCAAGUCGCGUGAGGGAUGACGGCCCUACGGGUUGUAAACCUCUUUUGUCGGGGAGCAAAUUCCGCCACGUGUGGCGGAGUCGAGAGUACCCGAAGAAAAAGCAUCGGCUAACUCCGUG
rnacentral:rRNA from 1 species